ACAAGCGGUGGAGCAUGUGGUUUAAUUCGACGCAACGCGAGAACUUACCUGGGCUUGACAUCUGCGGAAUUUCUAUGAAAGUAGGAAGUGCCCUUCGGGAGCCGCAAGACAGGUGCUGCAUGGCUGUCGUCAGCUCGUGUCGUGAGAUGUUGGGUUAAGUCCCGCAACGAGCGCAACCCUUAUCUUUAGUUACCAUCAUUCAGUUGGGGACUCUAAAGAUACUGCCCCGGUCAACGGGGGAGGAAGGUGGGGAUGACGUCAAGUCCUCAUGGCCCUUAUGUCCAGGGCUACACACGUGCUACAAUGGGCAGUACAAAGGGUAGCAAGCCUGCGAAGGUGAGCCAAUCCUUAAAGCUGGUCUCAGUUCAGAUUGCAGGCUGCAACUCGCCUGCAUGAAGUCGGAGUUGCUAGUAACCGCGCGUCAGCAAUAGUGCGGUGAAUACGUUCCCGGGCCUU
rnacentral:rRNA from 1 species